AUUGAACGCUGGCGGCAGGCCUAACACAUGCAAGUCGAACGGUAACAGGAAGAAGCUUGCUUCUUUGCUGACGAGUGGCGGACGGGUGAGUAAUGUCUGGGAAACUGCCUGAUGGAGGGGGAUAACUACUGGAAACGGUAGCUAAUACCGCAUAACGUCGCAAGACCAAAGAGGGGGACCUUCGGGCCUUUUGCCAUCGGAUGUGCCCAGAUGGGAUUAGCUAGUAGGUGGGGUAACGGCUCACCUAGGCGACGAUCCCUAGCUGGUCUGAGAGGAUGACCCGCCACACUGGAACUGAGACACGGUCCAGACUCCUACGGGAGGCAGCAGUGGGGAAUAUUGCACAAUGGGCGCAAGCCUGAUGCAGCCAUGCCGCGUGUAUGAAGAAGGCCUUCGGGUUGUAAAGUACUUUCAGCGGGGAGGAAGGGAGUAAAGUUAAUACCUUUGCUCAUUGACGUUACCCGCAGAAGAAGCACCGGCUAACUCCGUG
rnacentral:rRNA from 1 species